rnacentral:rRNA from 1 species
GUUUGGUCCUUGUGGCUGAGCUUGAUCGGGAUGGCAGGUAGCUCAUAGGUUUCACUUAUGAGUGUAAUCAGCUGUCUACAGUAGUUAUGUGCAAUGCGUCGGAGACGGCGGCUUUAGGUAUUUGCUUAUGUGCCAUUGACUGGUAGUGUCGGGUUUGACGGGCGUGUUUACCUGCUCCGGUGGGUCCGUCCGUGGCUCGGUGCUGCUCGGUUUGUGGUUGCGUUUGUGAUACCGUUGAUGGGCCUACAGUCUGUGGUGUAGCAGCAAACGAUCCACCUGACCCGUCUUGAAACACGGACCAAGGAGUUUAACAUGUGCGCGAGUCAUUGGGCGUUACGAAACCCAAAGGCGCAGUGAAAGUAAAGGUUCGGCUUGUCCGAGCUGAGGUGAGAUCCUGUAGCUUCUCGUGCGAGGUAUCACCAAGCUUGUGAGCUAUGGGCGCAUCACCAGCCCGUCUCAUGGUGUAGUCGUGUGACCUUGUGUUGCAUGCAUCACCGGGGCGGAGCCUGAGCGCACACGUUGAGACCCGAAAGAUGGUGAACUAUGCUUGCGGAGGUUGAAGCCAGAGGAAACUCUGGUGGAGGACCGCAGCGAUUCUGACGUGCAAAUCGAUCGUCUAACGUGAGUAUAGGGG